CACACAUGCUCCAUAUAAAUUUAUAGUAGAUAAAUCAUAGAUUUAAUCACACGAUUAAUAUGUGCAAACAGAAAGUUAUUUCUAAAACAAUGUGUUAAUACACCUGGAUUAUAUUUGGAACUUAUAUUUUCAAACAGACAUGGAUCCUAAUCAAAUGAAAGCACUUGACCAAUGUCAUCCAGAUAUACUGCGAGAUGUAGACAUUGACAAACAAUUUCUUCUCAGAAUGUACAUAGACAACAUUAUUACUCAAGCUCAAAGCGAAGAUAUAGAGCAAGAAACAACCAGAAGAGCAAAAGCUUCCAAACUAUUAGAGGUUUUGCCACGUAGAGGACCAUCCUGUUUUCGUCAAUUCGUUAACAAACUACGCCAAGACUAUCCUUGGAUUGCGAAAAAACUUGAUACAGAAUAUGAAAAGGCGAAAAGAGAAAUACCAAAAGAUAUCAAUACAAAAUUGUUGGAUGUCUAUAACAACCAAUUAUGUCGAUUGGUUCAUGGUGUUUAUGAUCACAGCUUUUUGUUGCCACCAGAAACCCAACCUGAAUAUUUAGUUAAUCAAAUAUCCGACAAUGUGCGUAUUCUGCAUAGCAGAUGUUACCGAGCUCUUGGAAUAUCAUCACGUGAUCAUGAUCCAGUAAUCACAUACUUUUCACUUUCACAACUUAUAGACCGUAAAGUUCAUUGUUUACAAAACAGUCUCCACGAAAUGAAAUGGUCACUCUAUGAGGAGAAGAAGAAAAAGAACAAAUCAAAUAUUAUAGUUUUAGACCAAAAAUUUGAAAAGGAAAUCACUAAAACGAAAAAGGCACUCGAGAAACAAAAAGAAGCGAACAAAAAACUAGAAUCCUCAUUGAAAGUAAAAACCAAACAGAUACAAUCUCUAUCAAGAGAAAGCACACUUUUACAAACACAAAACCAGCAAUUGAAGGAACGUGUGCAAGAACUUGAAAGUGCAAUGAUUUAUCAGCGUCAGUCGUCACAGGUAUCAAUGAUCACCGAGUGGAGGAUGUGAAGGGUACCAUAUUUUGUAUUAUUUAAUAAGCAAGUCAAUUUAUUUGAGUCUCGAUGCAAAUAAGGGAUCCUAUAUUUUGUAAGCGUCGCCGUGUCGGCAGUGUCACCAACAUUUAAAACCGAUUCAAAUUAAAAUAAGUGUAGACAUAAAUUAAAAUAAGUGUAGACAUCAAUAAUUUUGCCGACCCACCAUGAAAUUUUACGAAAUGUGAACAGUAGCUUCGUAAUCAAGACAUAGCAUUUGAAGAAGAAUGAAAAUAAAAUUUUCGUAUGUUUACAGAUUUAUAAAUAGAUUUGUACAGUUAAAAUACAAUCUAUAGGUUAAGUUUUUCAGACAUUAAUAAAUGUCAGCCCAUCGUUGAAAUUUACGAAACUUUGACAGAACCUU